UGAAAAGCACGAAUACAAUUAUCUAAGCACCAACAACGAAUCAAAGAUAAACCUGUACAGAGAUUGGAAAUUGACACAUCCUGCGAAUAAACAUAAAGUCAAAAACACCAAAUUAGAUUACAGCGAAGAAAAAGAACCUAUCAAACGACGACAAACGGAAGACCAUCAGGACAUUGAUGAAUAUUAUGAAAAUAAAAAAGCAAAGAUUAUCAGUUGUCCGGACACUUCACUAUACUCAUCUCUUAUCAGCGAAGAUGAAGAUGAAGAUGAUAACUGCAUUAAAAUAGUUUCCGUUUCAUCAGUAGCGCCUAGACCUUUGAAUACUUCACCAACUGUGUCGAGCGUAGAUUCAAAAAAAUCAUUGUGUACAAUUAGCUGAAUAGGAAGUUACAAACCCCCACCGAUCCUAUACUAGUCAAUGCAUUUUAUUCGGCUGACAUUCAAUUUAUAAGACUUGAG